rnacentral:misc_RNA from 1 species
UUUACCAAUUAAAAUUUGCUAACCAAAAUCAAGAAGAAAAUUCCUGCAAACAAUAACCCCUAGAGACCAAUAUCAAGCAAACAAUAAACCUAGAGACCAAUAUCAAGCUACCAUCAUCUCAUUUCAAAGCGCAGAGACCUUCGGUACCGAAACAGGGAAGUUAUCGAUCUCAUCCAUCCACGGAUUCUUCUCGUUCGCUGGAAUCACCCGCCUCAGAGCCCUCCACACUGCACUGUUGCAUUUGAAGCCCG